CCUACGGGGGGCAGCAGUGAGGAAUAUUGGUCAAUGGGCGUAAGCCUGAACCAGCCAAGUCGCGUGAGGGAUGAAGGUUCUAUGGAUCGUAAACCUCUUUUAUAAGGGAAUAAAGUGCGGGACGUGUCCCGUUUUGUAUGUACCUUAUGAAUAAGGAUCGGCUAACUCCGUGCCAGCAGCCGCGGUAAUACGGAGGAUCCGAGCUUUAUCCGGAUUUAUUGGGUUUAAAGGGUGCGUAGGCGGCCUUUUAAGUCAGCGGGGAAAGUUUGUGGCUCAACCAUAGAAUUGCCGUUGAAACUGGGAGGCUUGAGUAUGUGUGAGGCAGGCGGAAUGCGUGGUGUAGCGGUGAAAUGCUUAGAUAUCACGCAGAACCCCGAUUGCGAAGGCAGCCUGCCAAGCCAUGACUGACGCUGAUGCACGAAAGCGUGGGGAUCAAACAGGAUUAGAUACCCUUGUAGUC
rnacentral:rRNA from 1 species